AAGGGCCUUGUGGGGGUGGACUCAAGCCCCGGGUUCCCGAGCCUCGUAGAAUCUUCUAGAGGCUUUUUUUCUUAUAGCGAGGUACCAGAGUGCGGAAGUCUUGAGGUGGGAGAGGUCAUGUCCCAGAGUCGCCAGCGGUGUACGAAUGCUUCAGGCGCUGUGCCGAAGGGGAUCGGUGGAACCCAGCCCUGGCUGCGAGCCUGACUUUCUGCAGCUCCUUAGCUCUGAGCCUUGCGGGCAAGAAAUGCUGAGCAAGGCGAGCCUACUCCCUGGACCAGCCUUGCAGGCUUUGGUUUCACCCAAGCGCACUUCUUUCUGUCAGAGCUUUUUGGACGAGCCUGGGCCCAGGCUUCAGAUCCUUUUGGCUCUGACAGCUUGGGCGGAGGGAACCUGGGACUGCACCAAACGGGAAAACAUUUAGAAUUGCCUCAUGCAAACUGAGGGCCAUGAACCCUUUAGUUCACUCUUCCACCCUCUUUGGCCGCAGAGCAGCGACAAAAAGCAAAUUUAAUUGCUUUCGCUUAUUGUUUUAAUGUUCUGACCAUUUUUAUUUCCAGUUAGUGACUCAAAAGUCUGUAGUUGGCCAAGUUGAAUCUUAAGCUUUCAACGGACAGAGUGAAUGUUUUUCUUAUUCAGUAACACAAUAAACACAUCAAAGAAGUAGAGGUGCAAGCCUGAAAAAAGAAUUCACAUAUUUUAAAGAUUUAUUUUGAAUGGUGUGUGUGUGUGUGUAGGUGCCCAAGGAAGCCAGAGGCAUGGAGUCUAAGUCAAAACUCUCCUGUGUCUGAGCAAUUGUGAAAGGUAGUACAUGCUCUUAACUGGGGCCUCCUGCUUGGACUUUUGUUGGAAGUUGAACAAGCUAAAAAAUUAGAAGAGAAAUCACAAAAUACAGGCUUGUGGACCAUUGCAGUUCUCUCGUACCUUUGCACAGGUGACUCAAGUCUUCAGGGCUUUACCAGCUGAGGAGCUGCCUCAGUGCUUUAAGGAGAUCACAGGUAACUGGAUAUAUCCAGAGCUAAGGGAGCUGGAAAGGCUGGUUUCAAACCUACCCAAAGACAUCUUUAGCUCUUGGUCUUAAAAAGCUAAGGAUUUUGGGAUGUCUACCUUGUGCUGUUCUGCCUCUCCAUCAUUGCUGCUUUCACUAAACUCUGUUGUAGUCACUAAAGCUCUGCCACUCCCCUUACAGACUUUUCUGUGGUUUUGGCUGAGAAUCAUCUGAUUUUUCUCAUCUUACGUGUUACCCUCUCAGCUAUCACAUCUAUCAAUGGGUAAUGUCUUUAAAGCAUGGUUCUCCACCUUCCUAACACUGUGACCCUUUAUUACAGCUCCUCAUGUUGUGGUGACCCCCAACCAUAAAAUUAUUUUCAUUGCUACUUUAUAACUGAAAUGUUGCUACUGCUGUGAGUUGUAAUAUAAAUAUGUGUCAAAGGCUUUCCAAAGGGAUCAAGACCCACAAGUUUGAGAACUGCUGCUUUAAGCCAACACUUUUGAGUAAAAUAUCUACUAUGCCAGGCAUACUCUAGGCCUUGUCACCAAAACCCUUGUAAGCCAUGGCCCCUAUUCUCAAGGAACUUAACUUAUAAUGAGAUUAAAAAACAAAACCAGAAUUAAAAAACAAACAAAGAAACCAAAACCAUCCAUCCAUCCAACCAACCAACCAACCAACCAAACAGGUCUAGGCUGAUAAAGUCUGCCUUUAAUCCCAGCACUCUGAAGGUAGAGGUAGGCAGAUCUCUAAUAUAGAGGCCAGGCCAGUCUACAUAGCAAGUUCCAGGGCAGCCAGAGCUACAGAGUAAGAAAGACCCUGGCUCAAAACAAACAAAAAGCCUCAAAAAUGUGAAUUUUGUAUGGAAAUGAGAUCUUAGCUUAGUUUGGUGGUUCUCCUGAAAUUUCAAAAGAGGGAGCAGAACCAGGAGGCUAGUGAACUCAAGAUCACUUGAAUUAGGUGUGAAACCAUCUUUGGAGUGGGAAUAUAACACAUAGAAUGAAUGCUUCUUAGCCUGUUAAGGCCCUAGGUGUGAUUCCUAGGACUGCAAAGAAGAAAUAAAACAAACUAUCUUGCAUGUGUUGUUUACAACAGAUUAUUUUGUUGGGGUAAAUAAAUCAGCCUUGUUAUUUUUG
ensembl:lincRNA